GGCGCCGUGGCAUAGUGGUAUUGCGUCUGUCUCGUAAACAGAAGAUCGAGGUUUCGAUUACCUCCGGUGCCA